rnacentral:lncRNA from 1 species
AUUAAUCUUGCGUUUACUUCUUCACAAAUCGACUUGUGGUUUACAUUUUGCAAGGCAGCUUGUAUAUUUUUUUGAAUUGCAACCACGCUUCGUAUAAAUAUUCUGUACUAUUAUAAUUGUGACAUGAUAUUAUAAAGUUAAAGUCCAUUCUCCUUAAAUUAGAGUUGACGAAUCUGUCAUCGUGUAAUAUCUUUAUACCUAAUUUCUGUGCAACUAAUGACACAUACACAUCGUCAAGAAAUAUCGGUUUCAUAUAAGGAAAUGCUAUUCUCAAUUUUCGUACUACAUUUAUCUG